AGCCACCAUUUCCGGCAACAGGCAGACUUUUAACACAUUCCUUACCUAAACUUUUAAAAGGGACAAAAGAUAUAUGCCUUUGGUUUGGGAGAUGACGAAACAUAUGCUUUAAUGACUAUUGGGUUGGAAUCUUCUUGAGAGAGGAUCCUUCUUAGCCUAGACUAGAGUCUUCAAAAGCCCACAGUGCUUCGUAAAGUUUCAUACGUGGAAGAGAGAAGGAUGUUCCACUGGAAAAGCAGAAUUGCAGCUGAGCUGUCCUGAAAUGCCCAGCACUCUGUGGAGACGCGGAGGAGGUUUCCUGGGACAAAGUGCUGAACCAGGGUGAAAAUGGACUGAUACAGUAGGUGACAUGUGUCCAGCCUGCUUGGUUCCCAACUUUGCUGGAUCCAUUCUAUCUGUGGACGGAGCCACUAUCUCUGAAAGGAGAGAUCUCAUCCGCUGUCCACUGGGGAAUGGCCUUGCCCUAUGGCCCCUACCAAACAAAAACGUAGCAGAACACAGCAAAACAGCAGAGUCGGAAUGUGAAGUGCUGAUAGAGUUCCCUAACGCUGACUGUCUGCUCUGCAUUUCUGGAGAUUGUAUGCCUGUCAUCCUGCAUUCCUUGGUCCUAUUAUGAUCACCAUUCUGCAUUGGAGGAAGCC
rnacentral:lncRNA from 1 species